UACGUAGGGGGCAAGCGUUGUCCGGAUUUAUUGGGCGUAAAGAGCGUGUAGGCGGUUUGGUAGGUCCGCUGUGAAAACUCGAGGCUCAACCUCGAGACGCCGGUGGAAACCAUCAGGCUAGAGUCCGGAAGAGGAGAGUGGAAUUCCUGGUGUAGCGGUGAAAUGCGCAGAUAUCAGGAGGAACACCAAUUGCGAAGGCAGCUCGCUGGGACGUUAACUGACGCUGAGACGCGAAAGCGUGGGGAGCAAACAGG
rnacentral:rRNA from 1 species